AAACGUAUCCUACUGCGCCUCGCAGUCUCAUGCCAUACGCCGACGGUCGUUCAAGUCCACUAUAGGGCGGAUGACGGACACGAUAAUUUUAUUCUAUAUUUUAUGCUCGGGAAAUCGCACGGCGGUAAAACAUAAAUAAUACUAUUUUCGUCAUCACGUCAUUAUAAUAUAAUAUACACGAUAUUGUACACAAAUUAUACCACGGUCGUGUAUAUAUGAUACGAAACGAUUUUCUUACUUACGCGUUUCGCGCGAACGGUCGGCGUAGGUUUUUGAUUUUUUUUUACGGCACACGGUGUUAUAGUCUGCGUAUAUUUUAUUGCACAGUAUAGAAAUUGUACACAAAAAUCACACGGCAUUCGAAAAAAAUAAAAAAUUCAUGAUGUUUUCGCACUCGCCGUUGCGAUGGUCGACGUCGGUGCUCGUGCUGUUGACACUGGCGUCGGCCGAUUUCGACGGUCAAGUUCAUCGGAACGACGGCGACGGUCUAUUACCGCUACCGCGGUCGUCACAAUUACCAUCGGUGCUCAACGGCUCCGGCGCGGCCUUUCCGCCGGGUAACGGUCAAAACGUACCACCACCGAAGGACGACGACAUUUACCCCGAGUCGUGGGUUUCCGAUUUGUUUUACCGAGCGUUGGCCAAUUUUACCAUUCAGCGCGUGGGCAGCUCCGCUUGCCAGCGACAAGUGAACAUGUACGUUAAAAACUUACAGAACUACACCGACUGGGCCGUCAGAAUUUCAACCAAAAAUCGAUUUUUUUUCAUCUGUCCACAACACAUUAAUGGUUGAAAAAAUCCGUUCUACUGCAGCAUUUGUUCCCGGAAGUGCCAAAGAAUAUUCUACAAUUUUUGAUAUGUGGUAGAGUGCGAGAAAUUUGGCUACAAAACCGUGGAGCUCGAUCAUUUGGAUGCGCGAGCGAGUAGCGUUCUACCGGCGGCACGAGUAUAGAUUUAAAAUAUGUUCUAUUGAAUACUGUGAUACUAAAAAGAUCGUAGAAUAAAAAAAAAAUAAAUAAAAAAAUUAUAAAUUAACAAUAAAGAAAAAAAUGGGAUUAUACGGGACGUUAACAUUAAUACUAACUUGUGAAAUAUUAAUUAAUUUUUAACAUCACUUGAACUGAAACAGUUAAAUGCACUACAAAAAUUCACCAUUUUCUAAUUGUACCUGUAGACUAGAAUAUAAAAUAUUAACAAACACGUCAAUUCAAGCAGAAAGAGCAAAAAGCUGAAAUUGACGGACGUCAAUCACAAUAUUCACAAUAUUUAUGCCGGUAAACAUUUAAAAUGAAUACGGUACGACGUAUUAUCAAUAAAGACAGAGAUAGAAAUACCUAAAGUAUUCGCUAUCUCUUUCUAAUACACUCGCUCGGUUUUAUUUACGCUAGUCAUAUGGGCGGUGAGCGUUCCAGUUAUAUAUAGUUCAAUGAGAUAAUAUAAGAAUGGAUAGGACAUAAGAACUUAUCACAUGAAAAUUUAGUGAUACUAUUUUUAAGGUUAUAUGGGGCAAAUAUUAAUG